ACGAACAUGUCGGAUCAUAGGCGCCUGCCGGACGCCCACCAUGGUCGCGCUUGCUCCUGUGAUUGGCCGCACCAUGGCGACGAGCCGAGGGGAGUGGGAAAGCAAACCGAGGCCGAGGCCAUGGUAGGUGGCGGAGCUCCAGGCUGACAGGACGACAAAGGAGAGGCGAUGGUGGCUCUCGGCUAUGGCUGCGGCCAGCGGGAGGGGCGCAAUCUGAUGGAGGUCUCCGAGGUGCAGAAAUAACAGCGGGGAGGCACAGAUGAUGAACUUAUGAGUUAUGAUCACCUUCUCGAGGUGAUUUAGUCGGCGUCCACCCAGAGGUGCUGCUGAUGAGUUUCGGCGACCACCUCGCCGAGCUGUUUCUCCUUCCAAGGUGAUUGUGCCUAGAGGUGGGAGAAAACAGUUGAAGCAAACACGACAGGGGCAGGUCCAUGGUCAAGCAAUCAGUUCCACAAGUUUGCCAAUGACAGUUACAAGUGUUUGUUGAAGCUAACUCUAAAUGCUUUGAGAUGCCAGACAGUCCGCGCCCGAGGAAUUAACAUCAAAUCCUUGCAGAGCGUGGCCGCAACUAUCAGUGUUAGAUUACCGUCGAUAGUUUAUGUAUCCUUUUUACUACCUAUUAGCACCGUAUUUGUACUAUGUUUAUGUACUACCCUCAA